rnacentral:rRNA from 1 species
GACGAACGCUGGCGGCGUGCUUAACACAUGCAAGUCGAACGGACAGGCCCUGCUUUUGUGGGGUGCUCGAGUGGCGAACGGGUGAGUAACACGUGAGUAACCUGCCCUUGACUUUGGGAUAACUUCAGGAAACUGGGGCUAAUAUCGGAUAGGAGCUCCUGCUGCAUGGUGGGGGUUGGAAAGUUUCGGCGGUUGGGGAUGGACUCGCGGCUUACCAGCUUGUUGGUGGGGUAGUGGCUUACCAAGGCUUUGACGGGUAGCCGGCCUGAGAGGGUGACCGGCCACAUUGGGACUGAGGUAGGGCCCAGACUCCAACCUGAGGCAGCGGUGGGAAGUAUUGCACAAUGAGGGGGAGCGUGAGACAACGGCGCCGCGUGCGGGAUGACGGCUUUCGGGUUGUAAACCGAUUUCGCCUGUGACGAGGCGUGAGUGACGGUAAUGGGUAAAAAAGCACCGGCUAACUACGUG